GACGAACGCUGGCGGCGUGCUUAACACAUGCAAGUCGAACGAGUGGCGAACGGGUGAGUAAUACGUGAGUAACCUGCCCUCUUUUUGGGAUAAGCCUUGGAAACGGGGUCUAAUACCGGAUAAAGGGGGAUGGGCUCGCGGCCUAUCAGCGUGUUGGUGGGGUGAUGGCCUACCAAGGCGGUGACGGGUAGCCGGCCUGAGAGGGUGGACGGCCACAGUGAGACUGAGAGACGGCCCAGGCGCGGACGGGAGGCAGCAGUGGGGGAAAUUGCACAAAGGGCGAAAGCCUGAUGCAGCGAGGCCGCAGGGGGGAUGCAGGCUGUCGGGUUGUGAACCUAGUGCGCUAUCAAGGGGUAUGUGGAGAAGAAGCUCCGGCUAACUACGUGCCAGCCGCCGCGGUAAUUC
rnacentral:rRNA from 1 species